rnacentral:rRNA from 1 species
UACGUAGGGGGCAAGCGUUGUCCGGAUUUAUUGGGCGUAAAGAGCGUGUAGGCGGCCUGACAAGUCUGCUGUGAAAACUCGAGGCUCAACCUCGAGAUGUCGGCGGAAACUGUCUGGCUAGAGUCCGGAAGAGGAGAAUGGAAUUCCUGGUGUAGCGGUGAAAUGCGCAGAUAUCAGGAAGAACACCCGUGGCGAAGGCGGUUCUCUGGGACGGUACUGACGCUGAGACGCGAAAAGCGUGGGGAGCGAACAGG